AGAGUUUGAUCCUGGCUCAGAACGAACGUUGGCGGCGUGGAUUAGGCAUGCAAGUCGAACGAGAACGUCACCUUCGGGUGGCUAGUAAAGUGGCGAACGGGUGAGUAUCGCGUGGGAAACCUGCCCUCGAGUUGGGGAUAACACUCCCAACGGAAUGCUAAUACCGAAUAAGACCACGGUGUCGCAUGGCACUGAGGUCAAAGGUGGCCUCUACUUGUAAGCUACCGCUUGAGGAUGGUCCCGCGUCCCAUUAGCUUGUUGGUAGGGUAAUGGCCUACCAAGGCUGCGAUGGGUAGCUGGUCUGAGAGGAUGGUCAGCCACACUGGGACUGAGAUACGGCCCAGACUCCUACGGGAGGCAGCAGUCGAGAGGCUUCGGCAAUGGGGGAAACCCUGACCGAGCGACGCCGCGUGGGCGAUGAAGGUCGUGAGAUUGUAAAGCCCUGUCAGGAGGGAAGAAAUGCGGGGAGUCAAACAGGCUUUCCGUUUGACGGUACCUCCAGAGGAAGCUCCGGCUAACUCCGUGCCAGCAGCCGCGGUAAUACGGGGGGAGCAAACGUUGUUCGGAAUUACUGGGCGUAAAGGGCGAGUAGGCGGGCCGGUAAGUGGAAUGUGAAAGGCCCUGGCUCAACCAGGGACGUGCAUUCCAAACUGCCAGUCUUGAGUACAGGAGAGGAUGGGGGAAUUCCCGGCGUAGCGGUGGAAUGCAUUGAUAUCGGGAGGAACACCAGUGGCGAAGGCGCCCAUCUGGCCUGAUACUGACGCUGAUUCGCGAAAGCUAGGGGAGCAAACAGGAUUAGAUACCCUGGUAGUCCUAGCCGUAAACGGUGAGCACUAGGUGUAGGAGGCAUCGACCCCUCCUGUGCCGCAGCUAACGCAUUAAGUGCUCCGCCUGGGGAGUACGACCGCAAGGUUGAAACUCAAAGGAAUUGACGGGGGCCCGCACAAGCGGUGGAGCAUGUGGUUUAAUUCGAUGCAACGCGAAGAACCUUACCCAGGUUUGACAUGCACCGGACAGGUGUGGAAACACAUUUUCCCUUCGGGGUCGGUGCACAGGUGCUGCAUGGCUGUCGCCAGCUCGUGUCGUGAGAUGUUGGGUUAAGUCCCGCAACGAGCGCAACCCUUGUCCUUAGUUGCCAUCAAGUGAAGUUGGGCACUCUAGGGAGACUGCCGUCGAUAAGGCGGAGGAAGGUGGGGAUGACGUCAAGUCCUCAUGGUCCUUACGCCUGGGGCUACACACGUGCUACAAUGGCUGGUACAAUGGGUUGCUAUGCCGCGAGGUGGAGCUAAUCUCAAAAAACCAGUCUCAGUUCGGAUUGCAGUCUGCAACUCGACUGCAUGAAGGCAGAAUCGCUAGUAAUCGCUGAUCAGCAGGCAGCGGUGAAUAUGUUCCCGGGCCCUGUACACACCG
rnacentral:rRNA from 1 species